rnacentral:rRNA from 1 species
UACAGAGGUCUCAAGCGUUAUCCGGAUUCACUGGGUUUAAAGGGUGCGUAGGCGGACAGGUAAGUCAGUGGUGAAAUCUCCGAGCUUAACUCGGAAACUGCCUUUGAUACUCUCUGUCUUGAAUAUGGUGGAGGUAAGCGGAAUAUGUCAUGUAGCGGUGAAAUGCUUAGAGAUGACAUAGAACACCUAUUGCGAAGGCAGCUUACUACGCCUAUAUUGACGCUGAGGCACGAAAGCGUGGGGAUCAAACAGG